rnacentral:tRNA from 1 species
UAAGGUAUAGCCCAGUGGUAGAGCACAUGCUUAGCAUGCAUGAGGUCCUGGAUUCAAUCUCCAGUACUCCAU